rnacentral:rRNA from 1 species
UAGGGAAUCUUCCGCAAUGGACGAAAGUCUGACGGAGCGACGCCGCGUGAGUGAUGAAGGUCUUCGGAUCGUAAAACUCUGUUGUUAGGGAAGAACAAGUAUAAGGCGAAUAACCUUAUACCUUGACGGUACCUAACCAGAAAGCCCCGGCUAACUACGUG